rnacentral:rRNA from 1 species
AACCGGAUUAGAUACCCUGGUAGUCACGCCGUAAACGAUGAGUGCUAGGUGUUGGGGGGUUUCCGCCCCUCAGUGCUGAAGCUAACGCAUUAAGCACUCCGCCUGGGGGAGUACGGCCGCAAGGCUGAAACUCAAAGGAAUUGACGGGGACCGCACAAGCGGUGGAGCAUGUGGUUUAAUUCGAGGCAACGCGAAGAACCUUACCAACUCUUGACAUCCCCUUGACCGCUUGAGAGAUCAAGUUUUCCCUUCGGGGACAAGGGUGACAGGUGGUGCAUGGUUGUCGUCAGCUCGUGUCGUGAGAUGUUGGGUUAAGUCCCGCAACGAGCGCAACCCCUAUCCUUAGUUGCCAGCAUUCAGUUGGGCACUCUAGGGAGACUGCCGGUGACAAACCGGAGGAAGGUGGGGAUGACGUCAAAUCAUCAUGCCCCUUAUGAGUUGGGCUACACACGUGCUACAAUGGACGGUACAAAGGGCAGCGAGACCGCGAGGUGGAGCCAAUCCCAGAAAGCCGUUCCCAGUUCGGAUUGCAGG